rnacentral:rRNA from 1 species
UGGGGAAUCUUGCACAAUGGGGGCAACCCUGAUGCAGCGACGCCGCGUGAGCGAUGAAGCCCUUCGGGGCGUAAAGCUCUUUCGACCGGAACGAUAAUGACGGUACCGGGAGAAGAAGCUGCGGCUAACUACGUGCCAGCAGCCGCGGUAAUACGUAGGAAGCAAGCGUUGUUCGGAGUUACUGGGCGUAAAGAGUGGGUAGGCGGUUUUCUAAGUUCGGUGUGAAAUCUCCCGGCUUAACUGGGAGGGUGCGCCGAAGACUGGGAAGCUGGAGUGUGGGAAAGGCAGGCGGAAUUCCUGGUGUAGCGGUGAAAUGCGUAGAUAUCAGGAGGAACACCGGCGGUGUAGACGGCUUGCUAGACCAUAACUGACGCUGAGGCACGAAAGCGUGGGUAGCAAACA